AUUGUGGUUCUGAUUUGUAUUUUCCUGAUGAUUAGUUAUGUUGAGCACUUUUCCAUGUACCCGUCGACCAUUUGUAUAUCUUCUUUGGAAAAAUGUUCAGAUUAUCU